rnacentral:rRNA from 1 species
CAGCGGAGGGAUCAUUAAAGAGUUCUAUAACUCCCAAACCCAUGUGAACAUACCUAACGUUGCCUCGGCAGGUCGCACCUACCUUGUAGCACCCUACCCUGUAGGGCCUACCCGGGAGGUGCGGGUAAGCCUGCCGGCGGCCCACCAAACUCUGUUUGAUAUUGAAUUCUGAACCUAUAACUAAAUAAGUUAAAACUUUCAACAACGGAUCUCUUGGUUCUGGCAUCGAUGAAGAACGCAGCGAAAUGCGAUAAGUAAUGUGAAUUGCAGAAUUCAGUGAAUCAUCGAAUCUUUGAACGCAUAUUGCGCCCAUUAGUAUUCUAGUGGGCAGGACCGUUCGAGCGUCAUUUCAACCCUUAAGCCUUCGUUGCUUAGUGUUGGGAGCCUACGGCAACGUAGCUCCUCAAAGUUAGUGGCGGAGUUGGUUCACACUCUAGACGUAGUAAUUUUUUAUCUCGCCUAUUAGUUGGACUAAUCCCCUGCCGUAAAACCCCCAAUUUAUCAAGGUUGACCUCGAAUCGGUUCAGACAAACUCGCUAAAUUGAAGCAUCUUAGUCAGCGAAGGAAAAGAAACCAACAGGGAUUGCCCUAGUAACGGCGAGUGAAGCGG